CGGGGUGAGUAACGCGUGGAUAACCUGCCGUAUGCAGGGGGAUACCAACUGGAAACAGUUGCUAAUACCGCAUAAGCGCACAGUACCGCAUGGUAUAGUGUGAAAAGAUUUAUCGGCAUACGAUGGAUCCGCGUCCGAUUAGCCAGUUGGCGGGGUAGAAGCCCACCAAAGCGACGAUCGGUAGCCGGCCUGAGAGGGCGGACGGCCACAUUGGGACUGAGACACGGCCCAAACUCCUACGGGAGGCAGCAG
rnacentral:rRNA from 1 species